GUGAGGAAUAUUGGUCAAUGGGCGGAAGCCUGAACCAGCCAAGUAGCGUGCAGGAUGACGGCCCUAUGGGUUGUAAACUGCUUUUAUACGGGGAUAAAGUCAGCCACGUGUGGUUGAUUGCAGGUACCGUAUGAAUAAGGACCGGCUAAUUCCGUGCCAGCAGCCGCGGUAAUACGGAAGGUCCGGGCGUUAUCCGGAUUUAUUGGGUUUAAAGGGAGCGCAGGCCGGAAGCAAAGCGUGCCGUGAAAUGUAGAUGCUCAACAUCUGAAUUGCGGCGCGAACUGGUUUUCUUGAGUGCAUACGAGGUAGGCGGAAUUUGUGGUGUAGCGGUGAAAUGCUUAGAUAUCACGAAGAACUCCGAUUGCGAAGGCAGCCUACCAGGAUGUAACUGACGCUAAAGCUCGAAAGUGCGGGUAUCGAACAGGAUUAGAUACCCUGGUAGUCC
rnacentral:rRNA from 1 species